GAGUAAAGAUUUCGGUCGCUUUGGGAGGAGCUCGCUUACUAUCAGCUUGUUGGUAGGGUAAUGGCCUACCAAGGCUAUGACGGUUAGGGGGUGUGAGAGCAUGACCCCCAGCAUUGGCACUGAAACACUGGCCAAACACCUACGGGUGGCUGCAGUCGAGAAUCUUCCACAAUGGGGGAAGCCCUGAUGGAGCGAUGCUGCGUGCGGGAUGAAGGCCUUCGGGUUGUAAACCGCUUUUGUAGGGGACGAAAUUUUUGACGGUACCCUUUCGAAUAAGAGGUUGCUAACUCUGUGCCAGCAGCAGCGGUAAUACAGAGACCUCAAGCGUUAUCCGGAUUUACUGGGCGUAAAGCGUCUGUAGGGGGUUUAUUAAGUUCCAAGUAACAUUUCAAGGCUCAACUUUGAAUUCGCUUGGAAAACUAAUAAACUGGAGUCUAGCAGAGGUGCAUGGAACUUGUGGUGUAGGAGUGAAAUCCGUUGAUAUCACAAGGAACACCAAAGGCGAAGGCAUUGCACUGGGCUAGCACUGACCCUGAGAGACGAAAGCGUGGGGAGCAAAACGGAUUAGAUACCCGUGUAGUCCACGCCCUAAACGAUGAAUGCUAAAUGUUCGGGGAUUCGACCCCCUGGGUGUUACAGCUAACGCGUUAAGCAUUCCGCCUGGGAAGUACGGCCGCAAGGCUAAAACUCAAAGGAAUAGACGGGGAUCCGCACAAGCGGUGGAGCGUCUGGUUUAAUUCGACAGUAAGCGUGGUACCUCACCAGGGUUUGACAUCCCUUGACAGCCUUGGAAACAAGGUUUCCUUCGGGCAAGGUGACAGGUGCUGCAUGGUCGUCGUCAGUUCGUGCCGUGAGGUGUUCCGUUAAGUCGGGAAACGAACGAAACCCCUAUUGCAUGUUACAAUUUCUCAUGCAAGACUGCCCGGAUAUACUGGGAGGAAGGUGGGGAUGACGUCAGAUCUGCAUGGUCCUUAUACCCUGGGCGACACAGGCGCUACAAUGGCAGAGACAAAGGGUUGCAAAACCGCAAGGUGAAGCUAAUCCCAAAAACUUUGUCUAAGUUCGGAUUGAAGGCUGCAAUUCGCCUUCAUGAAGCUGGAAUCGCUAGUAAUCGUGAAUCAGCCACGUCACGGUGAAUAUGUUCCCGGAUCUUGUACUCACCGCCCGUCACACCAAGAGAGU
rnacentral:rRNA from 1 species